GCUAACUCUGUGCCAGCAGCCGCGGUAAUACAGAGGGUGCGAGCGUUGUCCGGAAUCACUGGGCGUAAAGGGCGCGUAGGUGGCUUGGUAAGCGUGUGGUGAAAGCUCGGGGCUCAACCCCGAGUCUGCCGUGCGAACUGCCGAGCUCGAGCAAAGUAGAGGCAGGUGGAAUUUCGGGUGUAGCGGUGGAAUGCGUAGAGAUCCGAAAGAACACCAGUGGCGAAGGCGGCCUGCUGGGCUUUUGCUGACACUGAGGCGCGACAGCGUGGGGAGCAAACAGGAUUAGAUACCCUUGUAGUC
rnacentral:rRNA from 1 species